CCUACGGGAGGCUGCAGUGAGGAAUAUUGGUCAAUGGACGAGAGUCUGAACCAGCCAAGUAGCGUGAAGGAUGACUGCCCUAUGGGUUGUAAACUUCUUUUAUAUGGGAAUAAAACGUUCCACGUGUGGGAUUUUGUAUGUACCCUAUGAAUAAGGAUCGGCUAACUCCGUGCCAGCAGCCGCGGUAAUACGGAGGAUCCGAGCGUUAUCCGGAUUUAUUGGGUUUAAAGGGAGCGUAGGUGGAUUGUUAAGUCAGUUGUGAAAGUUUGCGGCUCAACCGUAAAAUUGCAGUUGAAACUGGCAGUCUUGAGUACAGUAGAGGUGGGCGGAAUUCGUGGUGUAGCGGUGAAAUGCUUAGAUAUCACGAAGAACUCCGAUUGCGAAGGCAGUUCACUGGACUGCAACUGACACUGAGGCUCGAAAGUGUGGGUAUCAAACAGGAUUAGAUACCCUAGUAGUC
rnacentral:rRNA from 1 species